UACGGAGGGUGCAAGCGUUAUCCGGAUUCACUGGGUUUAAAGGGUGCGUAGGAGGGCAGGUAAGUCAGUGGUGAAAUCUUCGAGCUUAACUCGGAAACUGCCGUUGAUACUAUCUGUCUUGAAUACCGUGGAGGUGAGCGGAAUAUGUCAUGUAGCGGUGAAAUGCUUAGAUAUGACACAGAACACCGAUUGCGAAGGCAGCUAGCUAGACCGACAUUGACGCUGAGGCACGAAAGCGUGGGGAUCAAACAGG
rnacentral:rRNA from 1 species